UAGUCAGUUCAUUGAACUCAGCAAGAAGAAUCUGGGUGUCUUCACCAUGGCUUGGACUCCAAUACUGUUCAUUUUCCUUCAUCAAUUAACAGGGACAUGUGCCCAGUUUGUGCUAACUCAGCCAAACUCUGUGUCUGGGUCUCUUGGGAGCACAGUCACCAUCUCCUGCAAGCGCAGCAGUGGUAACAUUGGAGGCAGCUAUGUGCACUGGUACCAGCAGCACAUUGGAAGUCCUCCCACCAAUGUGAUCUAUAAGGACAAUCAAAGACCAUCUGGGAUUCCUGAUCGGUUCUCUGGCUCCAUUGACAGAUCCUCCAACUCAGCCUCACUGACCAUCACUGCUCUGCAGAUUGAGGAUGAGGCUGACUACUUUUGCCAGUCUUAUGAUAGUGGCUAUAGCCACAGUGAUGAGAAUAAUGGGGAAGUAAGACCAAAACUCCCCAGAGUACCAGCUGUGAAAUCACUUGUAAAAAAGACCAUUGUUUUUUCAUGUUUCCUACAAAAUACUGGUAUUGGGAGUGCCAAAUCAUAAUUUUCUCUUGGUUCA